AUGGAAAACGAGAGAGAGACGGAGAAAUUGAAGGA
rnacentral:sRNA from 1 species